CCCCCGAUGGCGGAAUCGGUAGACGCACCGGUCUCAGAAACCGGGGACGAAAGUCAUGCAAGUUCGAGGCUUGCUUGGGGGACCA
rnacentral:tRNA from 1 species